rnacentral:rRNA from 1 species
AGACCUCAGGUCAGGCGGGGCUACCCGCUGAGUUUAAGCAUAUCAAUAAGCGGAGGAAAAGAAACUAACACGAUCCCUU